rnacentral:rRNA from 1 species
GGGGCCCGCACAAGCGGUGGAGCAUGUGGUUUAAUUCGACGCAACGCGCAGAACCUUACCAGCCCUUGACAUGUCCAGGACCGGUCGCAGAGACGUGACCUUCUCUUCGGAGCCUGGAACACAGGUGCUGCAUGGCUGUCGUCAGCUCGUGUCGUGAGAUGUUGGGUUAAGUCCCGCAACGAGCGCAACCCCCGUCCUUAGUUGCUACCAUUUAGUUGAGCACUCUAAGGAGACUGCCGGUGAUAAGCCGCGAGGAAGGUGGGGAUGACGUCAAGUCCUCAUGGCCCUUACGGGCUGGGCUACACACGUGCUACAAUGGCGGUGACAGUGGGAUGCGAAGACGCAAGUCCUAGCAAAUCUCAAAAAGCCGUCUCAGUUCGGAUUGGGCUCUGCAACUCGAGCCCAUGAAGUUGGAAUCGCUAGUAAUCGUGGAUCAGCACGCCACGGUGAAUACGUUCCCGGGCCUUGUACACACCGCCCGUCACACCAUGGGAGUUGGCUUUACCUGAAGACGGUGCGCUAACCAGCAAUGGAGGCAGCCGGCCACGGUAGGGUCAGCGACUGGGGUGAAGUCGUAACAAG